GAAAAGCUCAAAUUUAAAAUCUGGCGGCUUAUAGUCGUCCGAGUUGUAGUCUGGAGAAGUGCUUUCCGCGCUGGACCGUGUACAAGUCCCUUGGAACAGGGCGUCAUAGAGGGUGAGAAUCCCGUCUUUGACACGGACUACCAGUGCUUUGUGAUGCGCUCUCAAAGAGUCGAGUUGUUUGGGAAUGCAGCUCAAAAUGGGUGGUAAAUUCCAUCUAAAGCUAAAUACAGGCGAGAGACCGAUAGCGAACAAGUACCGUGAGGGAAAGAUGAAAAGCACUUUGGAAAGAGAGUUAAACAGUACGUGAAAUUGCUGAAAGGGAAACGAUUGAAGUCAGUCGCGUUGUCUGGAAGUCAGCCUUGCAAUUUUGUUUGGUGUAUUUUUUAGAUUGACGGGCCAGCAUCGAUUUUGACCGUUGGAUAAAGAUGAGGGGAAUGUGGCACCUUCGGGUGUGUUAUAGCCCCUUGUCACAUACAACGGUUGGGAUCGAGGAACUCAGCACGCCUUUAUUGGUCGGGGUUCGCCCACGUUCGUGCUUAGGAUGCUGGCAUAAUGGCUUUAAACGACCCGUCUUGAAACACGGACCAAGGAGUCUAACAUACCUGCGAGUGUUUGGGUGGUAAACCCGAGCGCGUAAUUAAAGUAAAAGUUGAGAUCCCCGUUACAAGGGAGCAUCGACGCCCGGACUUGACCUUCUGUGAUAGCUCUGCGGUAGAGCAUGUAUGUUGGGACCCGAAAGAUGGUGAACUAUGCCUGAAUAGGGUGAAGCCAGAGGAAACUCUGGUGGAGGCUCGUAGCGAUUCUGACGUGCAAAUCGAUCGUCAAAUUUGGGUAUAGGGGCGAAAGACUAAUCGAUCC
rnacentral:rRNA from 1 species